rnacentral:tRNA from 1 species
AGCAGCGUGGCUCAGUGGAAAGAGCAUGGGCUUGGGAGUCAGAGUUCAUGGGUUCGAAUCCCGGCUCUGCCA